UCCUCCGUCUUCCACAUCUUCCCCUCCUCAUGGCUUUUCUUGAUUACACCUUUUUGGUGUUGGCAUUUUCUUAAGCUGUGAUGGAGGAAUUAAUCUUCAUUCUUAUAAUAGAACUCAGAAAUAAAAACGAGACAUGAUAUAGAACUGGGGGGUUUUGUAAAGGAUGUUUUCCCUUUUUGCUAUGUCCAUGAUAUCUUUCUCCAUUCAUAAUAAACCAAAUACCCUGGGGUUUUUUGCUCGUCCUUCAGUAAGGAAGAAAUAACACAACCAGGAACAGGAAAAAUAUUCACCAUGGAGGGUACAAAAAGGAAUAAAGGAGUCAAGUACAGGAUUCUCGAAGAAUUGUUUAAAUCACGAAGGAGAGGUGAGAAACUUUCACCUAUUACAUAUUUGUCAGUGUGCUUAAAGUCUACAAUGAGCAGAUUAGGGACCUAUUAGCUCCACAGACAACAUCAAAACGGUUGGAGAUAAAACAAGCUUCGGAAGGGCUUCAUCAUGUUCCAAGACUUGAAGAAGUUAAAGUAGAGAGUAUCAAAGAAGUCUGGAAUGUUCUACAAACCGAAAGUAGUGCACGGGCUGUUGGAUUCAACAAUGUGAAAGAGUACAAUAGUCGUUCUCACUGCAUGCUUUGUAUUAUGGUAACUGCCAAUAAUGUGAUCGACGGUGAAUGCACAAAGAGAAAGCUUUGGCUUAUGGAUUUAGCUGGUAGUGAAAAGUUAUUCUCCCUCUAAUAUUUCCAUCUUUUAGCAGGUGUUGUCUAUUAGAUGUUUCACCGAUUGUUAUUUCAGUUUUAGACUAUUACAAUGUAUGUAUCUUUACUUAUGGAUAAA